AAAUAACUUCUUUGCUUCCGGUAUAUAUUCUAUUUUCCCGUACCCAACCUACCACUCUCGCCCCCACUUCAUUUUUUUCUUUUUUUUUUCGGAUUUGAAUCGAUCCACCAGGCCAGCCCACAGAUCGGUGACACACCAUGGAGGAGGAGGACGACACCGUGGCGAAGGCACUGCUUCGGUCCUCGCUGCCGGACGCCGGGCAACACCUUAACCAGCAAGCAGGUGUUCACCUGGGCGAAGAGCAACAACCGGCGCCCACUCCACAUCGGCGACAUUAACAGAACAAGCAAAUGUGGGAGGCUGGGAGUAAAUGAAAAACUGCACGGAGUAAAUUCGUUACUUUGA
rnacentral:lncRNA from 1 species